rnacentral:tRNA from 1 species
GGGGAUUUAGCUCAGCGGCAUAAGCACCUGCCUUGCAAGCAGGUGGUCGUGAGUUCGAUCCCUGUCACCA